UACAGGGGGUGCAAACGUUGCUCGGAAUCAUUGGGCGUAAAGCGCACGUAGGCGGUUCGUUAUGUCGGAUGUGAAAGCCCUUGGCUUAACCGAGGAAGUGCAUCCGAAACUGGCGAGCUAGAGUACUAAAGAGGAUCGCGGAAUUCCCGGUGUAGAGGUGAAAUUCGUAGAUAUUCGGAAGAACACCAGUGGCGAAGGCGGCUUACUGGUCCGGUACUGGACGCUGAG
rnacentral:rRNA from 1 species